rnacentral:RNase_P_RNA from 1 species
GCAGAAGGCUGGACGGCCGCGCUGGGGGCUCGCCCUCCGCGAGGAAAGUCCGGACUCCCUAAAGCAACGGUGCCGGGUAACGCCCGGGCAGGGCAACCUGACGGAUAGCGCCACAGAAAUGAAACCGCCGUGCCCCCGGCAACGGAUCAGGGCGCGGUAAGGGUGAAACGGUGGGGUAAGAGCCCACCGCGCCCCUGGCAACAGGGGCGGCACGGCAAGCCCCACCGGGAGCAACGCCAAAUAGGGCCCCCGCGCGGGUAGGUCCCGGCAACGGGAUACCGCCGCUAGGCAUGCUUUAGCCAAGAGGGGCCGGGUUGGCAGCUAGAGGUACGCAGUAAUGCGUAUCGCAGAUGAAUGGCCGUCCAUGAGGCGCAAGUCUCGGGACAGAAUCCGGCUUACAGGCCUUCUGCGCAA